rnacentral:rRNA from 1 species
GACGGACGCUGGCGGCGUGCCUAAUACAUGCAAGUUGAGCGCUGAAGGUUGGUACUUGUACCAACUGGAUAAGCAGCGAACGGGUGAGUAACGCGUGGGGAAUCUGCCUUUGAGCGGGGGACAACAUUUGGAAACGAAUGCUAAUACCGCAUAAAAACUUUAAACACAAGUUUUAAGUUUGAAAGAUGCAAUUGCAUCACUCAAAGAUGAUCCCGCGUUGUAUUAGCUAGUUGGUGAGGUAAAGGCUCACCAAGGCGAUGAUACAUAGCCGACCUGAGAGGGUGAUCGGCCACAGUGGGACUGAGACACGGCCCAAACUCCUACGGGAGGCAGCAGUAGGGAAUCUUCGGCAAUGGACGAAAGUCUGACCGAGCAACGCCGCGUGAGUGAAGAAGGUUUUCGGAUCGUAAAACUCGGUUGGUAGAGAAGAACGUUGGUGAGAGUGGAAAGCUCAUCAAGUGACGGUAACUACCCAGAAAGGGACGGCUAACUACGUG